rnacentral:rRNA from 1 species
UGGCUCAGGACGAACGCUGGCGGCGUGCUUAACACAUGCAAGUCGAACGAAGCUUGAUGAUUGAUUCUUCGGAAUGAUUCAGAUAUGACUGAGUGGCGGACGGGUGAGUAACGCGUGAGGAACCUGCCUUUCAGAGGGGGACAACGUUUGGAAACGAACGCUAAUACCGCAUAACAUUGCCGAGUGGCAUCGCUUGGCAAUCAAAGAUUUAUCGCUGAAAGAUGGCCUCGCGUCCAAUUAGCUGGUUGGUGAGGUAACGGCCCACCAAGGCGACGAUUGGUAGCCGGACUGAGAGGUUGAACGGCCACAUUGGGGCUGAGACACGGCCCAGACUCCUACGGGAGGCAGCAGUGGGGAAUAUUGCACAAUGGGCGCAAGCCUGAAUGCAGCAACGCCGCGUGGAGGAAGACGGUUUUCGGAUUGUAAACUCCUGUUCUUAGUGACGAAGAAGUGACGGUAGCUAAGGAGCAAGCCACGGCUAACUACGUGCCAGCCGCCGC